rnacentral:rRNA from 1 species
AGUGAACGCUGGCGGUAGGCCUAACACAUGCAAGUCGAACGGCAGCACAGUAAGAGCUUGCUCUUACGGGUGGCGAGUGGCGGACGGGUGAGGAAUACAUCGGAAUCUACUUUUUCGUGGGGGAUAACGUAGGGAAACUUACGCUAAUACCGCAUACGACCUACGGGUGAAAGCAGGGGAUCUUCGGACUUUUCGCGACUCAAUUAGCUGAUGUCGGAUUAGCUAGUUGGCGGGGUAGAGGCCCACCAAGGCGACGAUCCGUAGCUGGUCUGAGAGGAUGAUCGGCCACACUGGAACUGAGACACGGUCCAGACUCCUACGGGAGGCAGCAGUGGGGAAUAUUGGACAAUGGGCGCAAGCCUGAUCCAGCCAUACCGCGUGGGUGAAGAAGGCCUUCGGGUUGUAAAGCCCUUUUGUUGGGAAAGAAAAGCAGCAGGUUAAUACCCCGCUGUUCUGACGGUACCCAAAGAAUAAGCACCGGCUAACUUCGUG